ACCAUCCUUUUCUUGGGGUUUUGCUACUGUCCAAUGAUCAUCUAGUGAGGGCAGUACUGCUAAGCUUACACAACACAGAAAAGUAAAAAAAA
rnacentral:snRNA from 1 species